rnacentral:misc_RNA from 2 species
AACGCAAGUUGCGCCCGAGGCCACUCGGCCGAGGGCACGCCUGCCUGGGCGUCACGCCAAAACACGCUCCCAACCACCCUCAACGGGAUUCGGGAUGCGGCAUCUGGUCCCUCGUCUCUCAAGGGACGGUGGACCGAAGAUUGGGCUGCCGGCGUACCGCGCCGGACACAGCGCAUGGUGGGCGUCCUCGCUUUAUCAAUGCAGUGCAUCCGGCGCGCAGCUGGCAUUAUGGCCUUUGAACGACCCAACAAACGAAGCGCACGUCGCUUCGACCGCGACCCCAGGUCAGGCGGGACUACCCGCUGAGUUUAA